ensembl:snoRNA small nucleolar RNA SNORA54
CUGCACUGUUCGUAACCUGCUUUCAGACCUUAGUCUGACUUUGGGUUCCAUUCCAGUGCUAUAUAAAUCCCAGUGAGGCAGGGGAGUCAUGUGUCUUGCACGAUCUCCCUGUUCACUCUCUGGGAACAUGG